rnacentral:lncRNA from 1 species
GGGUACAGCCGCGCCCAAAAAUGAGCACCCGAAAGUCGGGGCGCCAACACCCCCCAGCCGAAAAAUGCCCAAAAAACGUGUGGGCUAUAGCCUUGGUGGGGGGCGUGGGCGAAGUUCGUCCGCCGGACUCGGAAUAUCCCCAGAGUUUGCGGGCGGUCUCCGUGUGCCAAAAAUAGGCCACGGGCACAGCCGCGCCCAAAAAUCAGCCCCCGAAGAUCGGGGUGCCAAGACCCCCAGCGGUAAAAUGGCCAAAAAACGGGUGGGCUAUAGCCGUGGUGGGGGGCGUCGGCGAAGUUCGUCCGCCGGACUCGGAAUGGCCCCAGACUGUGUGGCCGGCCUCCGUGUGCCAAAACUAGGCCACGGGAACAGCCGCGCCGAAAAACCAGCCCCCGAAGGUCGGGGUGCCAAGACCCCCCAGCGGAAAAAUGGCCAAAAAACGGGUGGGCUAUAGCCUUGGCGGGGGGCGUGGGCGAAGUUCGUCCGCCGGACUCGGAAUGGCCCCAGACUUUGCAGGCGACCUCCGUGUGCCAAAAAUAGGCCACGGGCACAGCCGCGCCCAAAAAUGAGCGCCCGAAUGUCGGGGCGCCAACACCUCCCACCGGAAAAAUGGCCAAGAAACGGGUGUGCUAUAGCCCUUGGUGGGGGGCGUGGGCGAAGUUCGUCCGCCGGACUCGGAAUGGCCCCAGACUUUGCGGGCGGCCUCCGUGUGCCAAAAAUAGGCCACGGGCACAGCCGCGCCCAAAAAUGAGCACCCGAAAGUCGGGGCGCCAACACCCCCCAGCCGAAAAAUGCCCAAAAAACGUGUGGGCUAUAGCCUUGGUGGGGGGCGUGGGCGAAGUUCGUCCUCCGGACUCGGAAUGGCCCCAGACUUUGCGGGCGGCCUCCGUGUGCCAAAAAUAGGCCACGGGCACAGCCGCGCCCAAAAAUGAGCACCCGAAAGUCGGGGCGCCAACACCCCCCAGCCGAAAAAUGCCCAAAAAACGUGUGGGCUAUAGCCUUGGUGGGGGGCGUGGGCGAAGUUCGUCCGCCGGACUCGGAAUGGCCCCAGACUUUGCGGGCGGCCUCCGUGUGCCAAAAAUAGGCCAUGGGCACAGCCGCGCCGAAAAAUGAGCACCCGAAAGUCGGGGCGCCAACACCCCCCAGCCGAAAAAUGCCCAAAAAACGUGUGGGCUAUAGCCUUGGUGGGGGGCGUGGGCGAAGUUCGUCCGCCGGACUCGGAAUAUCCCCAGAGUUUGCGGGCGGUCUCCGUGUGCCAAAAAUAGGCCACGGGCACAGCCGCGCCCAAAAAUCAGCCCCCGAAGAUCGGGGUGCCAAGACCCCCAGCGGUAAAAUGGCCAAAAAACGGGUGGGCUAUAGCCGUGGUGGGGGGCGUCGGCGAAGUUCGUCCGCCGGACUCGGAAUGGCCCCAGACUGUGUGGCCGGCCUCCGUGUGCCAAAACUAGGCCACGGGAACAGCCGCGCCGAAAAACCAGCCCCCGAAGGUCGGGGUGCCAAGACCCCCCAGCGGAAAAAUGGCCAAAAAACGGGUGGGCUAUAGCCUUGGCGGGGGGCGUGGGCGAAGUUCGUCCGCCGGACUCGGAAUGGCCCCAGACUUUGCAGGCGACCUCCGUGUGCCAAAAAUAGGCCACGGGCACAGCCGCGCCCAAAAAUGAGCGCCCGAAGGUCGGGGCGCCAACACCUCCCACCGGAAAAAUGGCCAAGAAACGGGUGUGCUAUAGCCUUGGUGGGGGGCGUGGGCGAAGUUCGUCCGCCGGACUCGGAAUGGCCCCAGACUUUGCGGGCGGCCUCCGUGUGCCAAAAAUAGGCCACGGGCACAGCCGCGCCCAAAAAUGAGCGCCCGAAAGUCGGGGCGCCAACACCCCCCAGCCGAAAAAUGCCCAAAAAACGUAUGGGCUAUAGCCUUGGUGGGGGGCGUGGGCGAAGUUCGUCCGCCGGACUCGGAAUAUCCCCAGAGUUUGCGGGCGGUCUCCGUGUGCCAAAAAUAGGCCACGGGCAGUGCCACGCCCAAAAAUGAGCGCUCGAAGGUUGGGGCGCCAACACCCCCCAGCGGAAAAAUGGCCAAGAAACGGUUGUGCUAUAGCCUUGGUGGGGGGCGUGGGCGAAGUUCGUCCGCCGGACUCGGAAUGGCCCCAGACUUUGCGGGCGGCCACCGUGUGCCAAAAAUAGGCCACGGGCACAGCCGCGCCCAAAAAUGAGCGCCCGAAAGUCGGGGCGCCAACACCCCCCAGCCGAAAAAUGCCCAAAAAACGUGUGGGCUAUAGCCUUGGUGGGGGGCGUGGGCGAAGUUCGUCCGCCGGACUCGGAAUAUCCCCAGAGUUUGCGGGCGGUCUCCGUGUGCCAAAAAUAGGCCACGGGCACAGCCACGCCCAAAAAUGAGCGCCCGAAGGUUGGGGCGCCAACACCCCCCAGCGGAAAAAUGGCCAAGAAAUGGGUGUGCUAUAGCCUUGGUGGGGGGCGUGGGCGAAGUUCGUCCGCCGGACUCGGAAUGGCCCCAGACUUUGCGGGCGGCCUCCGUGUGCCAAAAAUAGGCCACGGGCACAGCCGCGCCCAAAAAUGAGCGCCCGAAGGUCGGGGCGCCAACACCCCCCAGCGGAAAAAUGGCCAAGAAACGGGUGUGCCAUAGCCUUGGUGGGGGCAGGGGCGAAGUUCGUCCGCCGGACUCGGAAUGGCCUCAGACUUUGCGGGCGGCCUCCGUGUGCCAAAAAUAGGCCACGGGCACAGCCGCGUUCAAAAAUGAGUGCCGGAAGGUCGGGGCGCCAACACCCCCCAGCGGAAAAAUGGCCAAAAAACGGGUGGGCUAUAGCCUUGGCGGGGGGCGUGGGCGAAGUUCGUCCGCCGGACUCGGAAUGGCCCCAGACUUGCAGGCGACCUCCGUGUGCCAAAAAUAGGCCACGGGCACAGCCGCGCCCAAAAAUGAGCGCCCGAAGGUCGGGGCGCCAACCCCUCCCACCGGAAAAAUGGCCAAGAAACGGGUGUGCUAUAGCCUUGGUGGGGGGCGUGGGCGAAGUUCGUCCGCCGGACUCGGAAUGGCCCCAGACUUUGCGGGCGGCNNNNNNNNNNNNNNNNNNNNNNNNNNNNNNNNNNNNNNNNNNNNNNNNNNNNNNNNNNNNNNNNNNNNNNNNNNNNNNNNNNNNNNNNNNNNNNNNNNNNGGCCACGGGCACAGCCGCGCCCAAAAAUCAGCGCCCGAAGGUCGGGGCGCCAACACCUCCCACCGGAAAAAUGCCCAAGAAACGGGUGUGCUAUAGCCUUGGUGGGGGGCGUGGGCGAAGUUCGUCCGCCGGACUCGGAAUGGCCCCAGACUUUGCGGGCGGCCUCCGUGUGCCAAAAAUAGGCCACGGGCACAGCCGCGCCGAAAAAUGAGCACCCGAAAGUCGGGGCGCCAACACCCCCCAGCCGAAAAAUGCCCAAAAAACGUGUGGGCUAUAGCCUUGGUGGGGGGCGUGGGCGAAGUUCGUCCGUCGGACUCGGAAUAUCCCCAGAGUUUGCGGGCGGUCUCCGUGUGCCAAAAAUAGGCCACGGGCACAGCCGCGCCCAAAAAUCAGCCCCCGAAGAUCGGGGUGCCAAGACCCCCAGCGGUAAAAUGGCCAAAAAACGGGUGGGCUAUAGCCGUGGUGGGGGGCGUCGGCGAAGUUCGUCCGCCGGACUCGGAAUGGCCCCAGACUGUGUGGCCGGCCUCCGUGUGCCAAAACUAGGCCACGGGAACAGCCGCGCCGAAAAACCAGCCCCCGAAGAUCGGGGUGCCAAGACCCCCCAGCGGAAAAAUGGCCAAAAAACGGGUGGGCUAUAGCCUUGGCGGGGGGCGUGGGCGAAGUUCGUCCGCCGGACUCGGAAUGGCCCCAGACUUUGCAGGCGACCUCCGUGUGCCAAAAAUAGGCCACGGGCACAGCCGCGCCCAAAAAUGAGCGCCCGAAGGUCGGGGCGCCAACACCUCCCACCGGAAAAAUGGCCAAGAAACGGGUGUGCUAUAGCCUUGGUGGGGGGCGUGGGCGAAGUUCGUCCGCCGGACUCGGAAUGGCCCCAGACUUUGCGGGCGGCCUCCGUGUGCCAAAAAUAGGCCACGGGCACAGCCGCGCCGAAAAAUGAGCACCCGAAAGUCGGGGCGCCAACACCCCCCAGCCGAAAAAUGCCCAAAAAACGUGUGGGCUAUAGCCUUGGUGGGGGGCGUGGGCGAAGUUCGUUCGCGGUACGAGGAAUGGCACCAGACUUGGCGGGCGGCCUCCGCGUGCCAAAAAUAGGCCACGGGCACAGCCGCCCCCAAAAAUCAGCCCCCGAAGGUCGGGGUCCCAAGACCCCCCAGCGGAAAAAUGGCCAAAAAACGGGUGGGCUAUAGCCUUGGUGGGGGGCGUGGGCGAAGUUCGUCCGCGGGACUCGGAAUGGCCCCAGACUUUUCGGACGGCCUCCGUGUGCCAAAAAUAG